rnacentral:lncRNA from 10 species
AGGAGAGCCCGGAGCCGGAUCCACUCUCAGCCUCAGGAAGCAGCAGCCUCCGCUCCGCGGCGGGUGUGCUCGGCAGUCACAGACCCACUCAGGACACCUCCCGUUGCCGACGGGCUAGACCUGCCUUAAAGGGGUCCCCGUGUCUCUCCAGUCUAGAGCCUAAGUUCAAACGAGGCGUAUAGGCGAGGACAGCAGGAAGGCUCCAAGUCAAACAAACGGAUGGGAAGUGGUCUUGGGAAACCUGAAGACACUGGGAUAUUCAGAAGGCCAAGGGGAUCCAGCUUAUCCUGUUGGGCAAGGUGCUGGGAGUGAAGGCAGGUCACCUGAAUGAUACUGGUGCCAUUUCUGAAGUUGGUGAAACUCCGCAUUACAUCCUGACUCAGAGAUUCCACUGAUGAUUUCCAGGAACUACCAAAGCCACGGAUCAGCUGAGUUACCCGGGCUAAUAGCAGGAGGAAACAGUGUCAGAGAGGGAUCUGGCUGAUCUUCAACUCCACUAAGUUCUCCCCAAGGGUCUUGCUCCAUCACCCACGCUGGAGUGCAGUGGCACAAUCACAGCUCACUACAACCUCAACUUUCCUGGCUCAGUGAUUAUCCCACCUCAGCCUCCUGAGUAGCUGGGACUAACAGGCAUGUGCCAACAUGUCCCACUCAUUUUUUUUUUAUUUUUUGUAGAGAUGGGGUUUCACCAUGUUGUCCAGGCUGGUCUCAAACUCCUGGGCUCAAGCGAUCCUCCCUGCCUUGGCCUGUGCUGGGAUU